UAAAUCUAACUGUACGUAAGCAAAGCAGCACGACUAUGAAGUUAUUGGCAUUCCUACUUAUUUUGGUGAUAAUCGUCGCCUUAUUGGCAAUGGUGCAAGCAGGACAUUUACAGGAAAUGGCUGGCCUGAUAGACUGCUGUUGUUGGAACGGUUGGAAAUGCACGUGUGCAUGUGCAAGAUAAUAGAGAUUAACAAUCCAAUUACCAUUUUAACCACAUGCGAGGACUACGAUUUUGAGAAAUGUGUAUGAAAACUUAAUGUGUCUUUCGGAAACGUUUAAUGGUUAUUUCCAAUAUUAACUAACGUAUGCUUCUCCUUUUUUAUGCCACAGCCUUAAACAAAUGUCAGUUCUACAUAAUGUUUCAAAAUAGUUCAUAAAAUGAAAAUUCUUGCUUUGAAUAAAAAAUGUUUUAUUCUUA